rnacentral:rRNA from 1 species
AUUCCAGCUCCAAUAGCGUAUAUUAAAGUUGUUGCGGUUAAAAAGCUCGUAGUUGGAUUUCUGCCGAGGAUGACCGGUCCGCCCUGUGGGUGUGCAUCUGGCUCAGCCUUGGCAUCUUCCUGAAGAACGUAGCUGCACUUGACUGUGUGGUGCGGUAUUUAGGACAUUUACUUUGAGGAAAUUAGAGUGUUUCAAGCAAGCGCACGCUUUGAAUACAUUAGCAUGGAAUAAUAAGAUAGGACUUCGGAACUAUUUUGUUGGUUUGCGUUACGAAGUAAUGAUUAAUAGGGACAGUUGGGGGUAUUCGUAUUUCAUUGUCAGAGGUGAAAUUCUUGGAUUUCUGAAAGACGAACUACUGCGAAAGCAUUUACCAAGGAUGUUUUCAUCG